rnacentral:rRNA from 1 species
AACCCAUUGUUACAUUAUUAGACGGAAAGACCCCAAGAGCUUUUUUUGUGUUAGAUUUGUUUGGGGUAAAUGUAGAUUAUUCAUUUAUUUUUAGAUCCUUCGUGGAUAAAGGAUAAAGUUACCUUGGGGAUAACUGAGUAAAGGGCAGGGAGAGGUCCUAUUGAUCUGUUUAUUACUACCUCGAUGUUGGCUUGUUGAACCUUUUUGGUGUAGAGGCUGGAAAAGGAAGUCUGUUCGACUUUUAAAUCUUCAUGAGUUGAGUUAAGACCGGUGUAAGCCAGGUUGGUUCUUAUCUAUAAUUGGUUCUAGUUAGUACGAAAGGAUUAUUAGGAUACAGUGUUUCUGUACACAUAGGAAUAGAAAGUAUACA